CGACACAGGUGGUCAGGUAGAGAAUACCAAGGCGCUUGAGAGAACUCGGGUGAAGGAACUAGGCAAAAUGGUGCCGUAACUUCGGGAGAAGGCACGCUGAUAUGUAGGUGAAGUCCCUCGCGGAUGGAGCUGAAAUCAGUCGAAGAUACCAGCUGGCUGCAACUGUUUAUUAAAAACACAGCACUGUGCAAACACGAAAGUGGACGUAUACGGUGUGACGCCUGCCCGGUGCCGGAAGGUUAAUUGAUGGGGUCAGCGCAAGCGAAGCUCUUGAUCGAAGCCCCGGUAAACGGCGGCCGUAACUAUAACGGUCCUAAGGUAGCGAAAUUCCUUGUCGGGUAAGUUCCGACCUGCACGAAUGGCGUAAUGAUGGCCAGGCUGUCUCCACCCGAGACUCAGUGAAAUUGAACUCGCUGUGAAGAUGCAGUGUACCCGCGGCAAGACGGAAAGACCCCGUGAACCUUUACUAUAGCUUGACACUGAACAUUGAGCCUUGAUGUGUAGGAUAGGUGGGAGGCUUUGAAGUGUGGACGCCAGUCUGCAUGGAGCCGACCUUGAAAUACCACCCUUUAAUGUUUGAUGUUCUAACGUGGACCCGUGAUCCGGGUUGCGGACAGUGUCUGGUGGGUAGUUUGACUGGGGCGGUCUCCUCCUAAAGAGUAACGGAGGAGCACGAAGGUUGGCUAAUCCUGGUCGGACAUCAGGAGGUUAGUGCAAUGGCAUAAGCCAGCUUGACUGCGAGCGUGACGGCGCGAGCAGGUGCGAAAGCAGGUCAUAGUGAUCCGGUGGUUCUGAAUGGAAGGGCCAUCGCUCAACGGAUAAAAGGUACUCCGGGGAUAACAGGCUGAUACCGCCCAAGAGUUCAUAUCGACGGCGGUGUUUGGCACCUCGAUGUCGGCUCAUCACAUCCUGGGGCUGAAGUAGGUCCCAAGGGUAUGGCUGUUCGCCAUUUAAAGUGGUACGCGAGCUGGGUUUAGAACGUCGUGAGACAGUUCGGUCCCUAUCUGCCGUGGGCGCUGGAGAACUGAGGGGGGCUGCUCCUAGUACGAGAGGACCGGAGUGGACGCAUCACUGGUGUUCGGGUUGUCAUGCCAAUGGCACUGCCCGGUAGCUAAAUGCGGAAGAGAUAAGUGCUGAAAGCAUCUAAGCACGAAACUUGCCCCGAGAUGAGUUCUCCCUGACCCUUUAAGGGUCCUGAAGGAACGUUGAAGACGACGACGUUGAUAGGCCGGGUGUGUAAGCGCAGCGAUGCGUUGAGCUAACCGGUACUAAUGAACCGUGAGGCUUAACCUUACAACGCCGAAGGUGUUU
rnacentral:rRNA from 2 species